AUUGAACGCUGGCGGAAUGCUUUACACAUGCAAGUCGAACGGCAGCACGGGGGCAGCCCUGGUGGCGAGUGGCGAACGGGUGAGUAAUACAUCGGAACGUGCCCGGUCGUGGGGGAUAACGUAGCGAAAGUUACGCUAAUACCGCAUACGAUCUGAGGAUGAAAGCGGGGGACCUUCGGGCCUCGCGCGAUCGGAGCGGCCGAUGUCAGAUUAGGUAGUUGGUGGGGUAAAGGCCUACCAAGCCGACGAUCUGUAGCUGGUCUGAGAGGACGACCAGCCACACUGGGACUGAGACACGGCCCAGACGCCUACGGGAGGCAGCAGUGGGGAAUUUGGGACAAUGGGCGCAAGCCUGAUCCAGCCAUUCCGCGUGCAGGACGAAGGCCUUCGGGUUGUAAACUGCUUUUGUACGGAACGAAAAGGCUCUGGCUAAUACCUGGGGCUCAUGACGGUACCGUAAGAAUAAGCACCGGCUAACUACGU
rnacentral:rRNA from 1 species